UACGGAGGGGGCUAGCGUUGUUCGGAAUUACUGGGCGUAAAGCGCACGUAGGCGGCUUUGUAAGUUAGAGGUGAAAGCCCGGAGCUCAACUCCGGAAUUGCCUUUAAGACUGCAUCGCUAGAAUUGUGGAGAGGUGAGUGGAAUUCCGAGUGUAGAGGUGAAAUUCGUAGAUAUUCGGAAGAAACACCAGUGGCGAAGGCGACUCACUGGACACAUAUUGACGCUGAGGUGCGAAAGCGUGGGGAGCAAACAGGG
rnacentral:rRNA from 1 species